GGUCAGGGAUGAGCUCGCGGCCUAUCAGCUUGUUGGUGAGGUAACGGCUCACCAAGGCGUCGACGGGUAGCCGGCCUGAGAGGGUGACCGGCCACACUGGGACUGAGACACGGCCCAGACUCCUACGGGAGGCAGCAGUGGGGAAUAUUGCACAAUGGGCGAAAGCCUGAUGCAGCAACGCCGCGUGAGGGACGACGGCCUUCGGGUUGUAAACCUCUUUUAGCAGGGAAGAAGCGAAAGUGACGGUACCUGCAGAAAAAGCACCGGCUAACUACGUGCCAGCAGCCGCGGUAAUACGUAGGGUGCAAGCGUUAUCCGGAAUUAUUGGGCGUAAAGAGCUCGUAGGCGGUUUGUCGCGUCUGCUGUGAAAACCCGAGGCUCAACCUCGGGCCUGCAGUGGGUACGGGCAGACUAGAGUGCGGUAGGGGAGAUUGGAAUUCCUGGUGUAGCGGUGGAAUGCGCAGAUAUCAGGAGGAACACCGAUGGCGAAGGCAGAUCUCUGGGCCGUAACUGACGCUGAGGAGCGAAAGGGUGGGGAGCAAACAGGCUUAGAUACCCUGGUAGUCCACCCCGUAAACGUUGGGAACUAGUUGUGGGGUCCAUUCCACGGAUUCCGUGACGCAGCUAACGC
rnacentral:rRNA from 1 species